UCUUCCUUCUAGAUGAGUUAGGCUUUGGAUUCUUCUUAUGUCCCAAUCUUUCUUUUUUAACAUUUAUGCCUUUUAUCCUGAACUUACAAUAGAAAUUCCCCAAGAGAACCAAUAGCUACAGGAUCCAGAUCAAACUUUAAAAAGAAGGAAAUAGUGUGAAAACAACGAGCCAGCACUUUAUUUUGGUACCAGAUUUGCCGGCGAAACACCAUCAUAUGAAAUUCAAAUCACGUCCUCAAAUGCAAGCAUGUCAAAGUUGGAAUGCACUCCUAGAAGUGAACAGGGAUACCUUUUUAAGAAGUUAGUGGAUGAUUACACAAAAAUGAUUAAAGAAUUUAAUUAAGUGUAUCCUUGCUUUUGGUAGGAUUUACUCGAACUGAAGAUAAGUUUGCAAACUGUACAACAAGCACAGCAUGAGAUUUCAUGCAAUACAAGUGGCUUGUAUGUUAUUUCACCUGGGUCUAUUUUGAAGUUUGAAUAUGUGAAUGCUCAUACUUGUAUUAUUUAUGCAUGUCAUUACCCCUAGGCCAUGGAAGUCAAAUGUCAAUAUGCUCAGCCAUGAGUUUGGGGUGGUAUUAAGAUUGUUAACAGAACAGAAGAAACAUUGCUGGAUUUGCAUCCAAAAUGGUGGAACAACGACAAAAUUAUUAUCCCAGUUGCUGAAAUCAGCCACAUAAACUAUGCAAUGUGAUUCAGCUUGAUUAAAACUCAAAUCUUCCGAAAUAUUGUCAGGCGAAGAAAAUUUUAUAAAAGAAAUGAUGCAGAAAAAAAGUUCAUAAUAAUGAUUUUUUAACAA